rnacentral:sRNA from 1 species
GUUGUUCGGCGGCGGCGGCGGCGGUAAGAUGGCUGCCCACGGGGGCUCCGCGGCGUCUUCGGCGCUGAAGGGGUUAAUUCAACAGUUCACCACCAUCACCGGUGCAAGUGAAAGUGUAGGAAAACAUAUGCUUGAAGCGUGCAACAAUAAUCUGGAAAUGGCAGUCACUAUGUUUUUGGAUGGUGGAGGAAUCGCUGAAGAGCCCAGUACCAGUUCAGCAAGUGUCUCUACUGUCAGACCACACACAGAAGAAGAAGUUCGUGCCCCAAUUCCUCAAAAGCAGGAAAUACUGGUGGAACCAGAACCAUUAUUUGGUGAGAUGGAGUCUGUUGCCCAGGCUGGAGUGCAGUGACACAAUCCUUGCUUACUGCAGUCUCAAACUCCUGGGCUCAAGGAUUCCUCCCACCUCAGCCUUCUAUAGGUGCAUGCCACCACGCCUGGCUAAUUGUUUUGUUUUGUUUUGUGGAGACAGGGCAUUGCUAUGUUGCCCUGGGUGCUAUGGAACUGAUUCAAGCAAUCCUCCCGCCUUGGCCCUUGGCCUUGGCCUCCCAGAGUAUUGGAGUUAUGGGCGUGGAGUUAUGGGCGUGGAGUUAUGGGCAUGAGCCACCACACCUGGCCGCUUAUCUUAUCUCUGAAUUGAUGUACAGUAAGGAGAACACGGAGAAUGACUUUUUACAGUUAGGAAGUCAUUCUUACUUUUCAUUAUUAGACGUUAUAACUUGAAAUGGGUCUUUAGAUACUAUUUUCUUAAGACAGUAUUGAUUUAAAUCACAGUUCAGGUGUGGGCUCAGGUCCCUAAUAGUCCCUUUCAGGUUGUCUGUAAAGUUAAAACAACUUACGUAAUAAUACUAAGGGUUUGUUUUUUUUUCCCGAGAUGGGGUCUUGCUGUGUUGCCCCAGGAUGGAGUGCAGUGGUUGCUCACAGGCGUGAUCCCACUAGUGAUCAGCAUG